UUUAUAACAUUCUGUCUCAUGGAAUGGAGCCCAAUGCUGUAACUUACAAUACACUUCUGCAUUCUCUUUGUAGUUCUGGGUUAUGGGAUGAAGUGGAUGAGAUCCUUGCAAUUAUGAAAGAAACUUACCAUCCUCCUACUGUAGUUACUUACAACACACUGAUUAAUGGCUUGUGUAAGUUUGGACUUGUGGAUCGCGCCAUUGACUUCUUUCUUCAAAUGGUUUAUGAAGAUUGUUUGCCUGACAUUGUUACUUAUAAUACUCUCCUUGGUGCACUAUGUAAAGAAGGACUGGUGGAUGAUGCCCUUCAAUUACUUAGCCUUCUAAGCUUUAGCAGCUGUUCUCCUGGGUUGAUAACUUAUAAUACUGUGAUUGAUGGAAUUACCAGAAGGGGAAGUAUGGACAAAGCAAUGACGUUAUACAAUCAAAUGAUAGAAAAUGGGAUCAUUCCUGAUGGUAUUACCCAUCGUUCAUUGGUUUGGGGGUUUUGCUCAGCAAAUCAAGUUGAAGAUGCUGUGGAGAUACUGAGAGAGAUGGGAAAGAGAGAGCACAGGAUCAAUAGUAGUGCUUACAAAAUGGUGAUUGAUGGAUUAUGUAAAAAGAAGAAGGUGGAUAUUGCAAUACAAGUUCUUGAAAUUAUGAUCUUAAAUCGAUGCAAGCCAGAUGAGGAAAUUUAUUCUACUCUAAUUAAAGGUCUGGCAGAUGCUGGUAUGAUCGAAGAGGC
rnacentral:misc_RNA from 1 species